rnacentral:rRNA from 1 species
CCUACGGGUGGCAGCAGUGGGGGAUAUUGCACAAUGGGGGGAACCCUGAUGCAGCGACGCCGCGUGGGUGAAGAAGCGCCUCGGCGCGUAAAGCCCUGUCAGCAGGGAAGAAAAUGACGGUACCUGAAGAAGAAGCACCGGCUAACUACGUGCCAGCAGCCGCGGUAAUAAGUAGGGGGCAAGCGUUACCCCGAUUUACUGGGUGUAAAGGGGGCGCAAACGGCGAUGCAAGGCAGGAGGGAAAGGCCGGGGGCCAACCCCGGGGCUGCUCUUGGAACUGCGUGGCUGGAGUGCAGGAGGGGAAGGCGGAAUUCCUGGUGUAGCGGUGAAAUGCGUAGAUAUCAGGAGGAACACCGGUGGCGAAGGCGGCCUGCUGGACUGCAACUGACGUUGAGGCCCGAAAGCGUGGGGAGCAAACAGGAUUAGAUACCCUGGUAGUC